AGUUCGGAUUGAAGGCUGAAAUUCGCCUUCAUGAAGUCGGAAUUGCUAGUAAUGGCAGGUCAGCAUACUGCCGUGAAUACGUUCCCGGGCCUUGUACACACCGCCCGUCACACCAUGAGAGUUGGAGAUACCCGAAGCCUAUGAGCUAACUUUUAGAGGCAGUAGUCGAAGGUAGAAUCAAUGAUUGGGGUGAAGUCGUAACAAGGUAAC
rnacentral:rRNA from 1 species